rnacentral:lncRNA from 1 species
CUAAUUUUAAUUUCUAUGUACCUCCACCUUUAAAAACUUUUAGUGGAUCGCUGUAUUAUGUUAUAUUAUUUUUGGAACCGUGCCCAUUAUUUUUUUUAUGUUGGGAGGGCGUUAUUUAAUUGGUAAUUUGCACAAGAUUGGAGAAGUGUAAAGGACAUAAUUGCAUCUAAUUUAGCAAUACAAAUGGACGGUCAUACAAAUGAUAGCAUUUGUCUCUAACUUUAUUCCUGGAUAUGAAUGGGAAACACAAUUAAAAAUUUCCAGAAAAUUAACAGAUAGUUUGAAAAGUAAAAAUCUGAA